AUUGAACGCUGGCGGCAUGCCUUACACAUGCAAGUCGAACGGUAACGGGCCUUCGGGUGCCGACGAGUGGCGAACGGGUGAGUAAUGCAUCGGAACGUACCUUUCAGUGGGGGAUAACGUAGCGAAAGUUACGCUAAUACCGCAUAUUCUGUGAGCAGGAAAGCAGGGGAUCGCAAGACCUUGCGCUGAUUGAGCGGCCGAUGUCAGAUUAGCUAGUUGGUGAGGUAAAGGCUCACCAAGGCGACGAUCUGUAGCGGGUCUGAGAGGAUGAUCCGCCACCCUGGAACUGAGACACGGUCCAGACUCCUACGGGAGGCAGAAGUGGGGAGUUUUGGACAAUGGGGGCAACCCUGAUCCAGCCAUGCCGCGUGAGUGAAGAAGGCCUUCGGGUUGUAAAGCUCUUUCGGUCGGGAAGAAAUCGCAUGGGUUAAUACCCUGUGCGGAUGACGGUACCGGCAUAAGAAGCACCGGCUAACUACGUGCCAGCAGCCGCCGUAAUAC
rnacentral:rRNA from 1 species